AUCCAGCCGACGAGUCCCAAAUAGGACGAAAUGCGCAUCCUGAAU
rnacentral:hammerhead_ribozyme from 1 species